rnacentral:tRNA from 1 species
GCAUUAAUGGGGUAGUGGUAACCUGGGUCGUUGCCAUCCGCUUGCUCGACCCGCCGGGGGUUCGAUUCCCUCUUAAUGCA